AUGCUGGUGGUCCAGUCCCACUCUGAACACACAGUCCCUGGAAACUACCAUUCUUCUUUCUGUCUCCAUAAAUUUGACUAUUCAAAUGGACUUCAAAUAAGUGAAACUAAACAGUGUUUGUCUUUUGGUGACUUGCUUGCUUCAUCGUCCUCAAGUUCCCUCCAUGUUGUAGAAUGUAUUGUUUUCUUCCUUUUUAAAGGUAGAUAGAGAUGUUCCAACUACUGGCAAGUCCUCUUGAAAAAGUAAGUGCCAUUUUAAAUGCAUGCUCUUUUGAGUGUUGCUUAUGCAUGGAUUAAUUAGAUCUUCAGAUAUGAAAAAAACAGACACAAAAAUAAAAAAGUCCCCAUCAUAUGUAUUCAAGUGGUAAGGAAAUUGUUAAUUUCAAAUUACUUUUCAGGCUUCUAGCUCUUUUUGUAUUUUUGUC
rnacentral:lncRNA from 1 species